rnacentral:rRNA from 1 species
ACAGAACUGUGGGGACGCAGAAGGAGAGCACUACCUGGAAUGGAAUCCAGGGGCAAGCACAGGAGGGGUACGGCUGGAAAAACCGCCGUGCAACCCAAAGGUGUGACGCAUACCGAACUAAAGUAGGGAAAUGUGUGAGCCGGCUGCCGAGAAAAGCCGCUAUUGUUUGUACUGUACCCGUACCGUAAACCGACACAGGUGGAUGAGGAGAGAAUCCUAAGGCCGACGGAAGAAGCAUUGCUAAGGAACUCGGCAAAAUGACCCUGUAACUUCGGGAGAAAGGGUGCCUCGAAAGAGGCCGCAGAGAAUAGGCCCAAGCAACUGUUUAGCAAAAACACAGGUCUAUGCAAAACCGCAAGGUGAAGUAUAUGGGCUGACGCCUGCCCGGUGCUGGAAGGUUAAGGGGAGAUGUCAGGAGACGAAGCAUCGAACUUAAGCCCCAGUAAACGGCGGCCGUAACUAUAACGGUCCUAAGGUAGCGAAAUUCCUUGUCGGGUAAGUUCCGACCCGCACGAAAGGCGUAAUGAUUUGGGCGCUGUCUCGGCAAUGCAUCCGGUGAAAUUGAAGUGCCAGUGAAGAUGCUGGCUACCCGCGCCAGGACGGAAAGACCCCAUGGAGCUUUACUCCAGCUUGAUACUGGGAUUCGGUAUUGUAUGUACAGGAUAGGUGGGAGGCUGAGAAAUGGUGACGCCAGUCGCCAUGGAGCCGCUGUUGGGAUACCACCCUUGCAGUACUGGAUUUCUAACCAGCAGCCGUGAUCCGGCUGGGGGACAAUGUCAGGUGGGGAGUUUGACUGGGGCGGUCGCCUCCGAAAGGGUAUCGGAGGCGCUCAAAGGUUCCCUCAGAAUGGUCGGAAACCAUUCGAAGAGUGCAAAGGCAGAAGGGAGCUUGACUGCGACACCGACGGGUGGGGCAGGUACGAAAGUAGGACUUAGUGAUCCGGUGGUAUUAAGUGGGAAUGCCAUCGCUCAACGGAUAAAAGCUACCCUGGGAUAACAGGCUUAUCACUCCCAAGAGUUCACAUCGACGGAGUGGUUUGGCACCGAUGUCGGCUCAUCGCAUCCUGGGGCUGUAGUAGGUCCCAAGGGUUGGGCUGUUCGCCCAUUAAAGCGGUACGCGAGCUGGGUUCAGAACGUCGUGAGACAGUUCGGUCCCUAUCCGGCGUGGGCGUAGGAUAUUUGAGAGGAGCUGACCUUAGUACGAGAGGACCGGGUUGGACUGACCUCUGGUGCACGGGUUGUCAUGCCAAUGGCACAGCCGGGUAGCCAAGUCGGGAAGGGAUAAACGCUGAAGGCAUCUAAGCGUGAAGCCCCCCUCAAGAUGAGAUAUCCCCCGCAUAAGCGGUAAGACCCCUUGAAGACGACGAGGUAGAUAGGGCAGAGGUGGAAGUGCAGUAAUGUAUGGAGCUGACUGCUACUAAUAGGUCGAAGGCCUAA